GGAGAAUUCUUCAAUUUCAUCAUUUUGGGUAGUCCCUGGGGUGGCUCUAAACUGUAGGGCACUUCCUCUGUAUUGUACAGAGUAACUUGUGUUGGUGGGUGGGGCCACAGUCAGACCUGAUGUCUGCCCCCAGCCCACUGCUGGGACCACAAUCAGACUGGUGUGUACCUUAUCUUCUCCUCUCCCAGGGGCAGAACUCACCGUGGAGUGGUGUGGCUCCUGUCUGGGCUACUUGCAGACUGCCAGGCUUGUGGUUCUGCUUUGAUGGGAUCUGAUGUAUUAGCUGGGGUGGAUCUGCAAGGUGCACAGGGGCAGGAGGGCUAGGCUUAGCUAGCUUUGCUGUCGUUGGUCCCCUGAGGUAGGGGCCCUGCAGCACUGGGAGGGAGGCAUACCCAUCAGAGGGAUGGAUCCACAGAAGCACAGUGUUGGGUGUUUGCACGGUGCAAGCAAAUUCAGUGACAGGAACUGGUUCCCUUUGGAAUUUCGGCUGGGGGGUGGGAGAGGGAGAUGAUGCUUGCCAGCACCUUUGUUCCCUACCAAGCUGAGCUCUGUCUUCCAGGGCUCAGCAACUCUCCCUUUUGGUGUCCUCUCAUCCUCCCCUCUCUCCGAGAGCAGAGCUGUUCACUUUUAACAUUCCAGAUGUUAAGUCCCGCUGGCUGUCAGAACUCCUACAGUCUGGCCCCUCCGCUUUUGCAAGCCAGACUGGGAGCUCUGCCUUGCCGGGUGGGCUGCCCCUCCACUGCCCUGGCUCCCUCCCACGAGUCUGUGUAGCACGCACGGCGUAUCCCCCUUCCUACCUUCUUCUGUGGGCCUCUUGUCUACACUUGGCUCCAAAGAGUCCAUUCUGCUAGUCUUCUGGAGGUUUUCUGGGUUAUUUAGGCAGAUAUGGGUAGAAUCUAAGUGAUCAGCAGGAUGCAGUGAGCCCAGCAUCCUCCUACGUUGCCAUCUUCCCUGACUAAACGUAAAUGCUUUUUGAAGACCCUACUAAGUAUAAUCCACUAAGUAAUUCCUGUUGGCAAUAAAAGGGUGAUUCAAACAGUUGAAACUCUCUUUAAUUUACUCACAUUCGAAUUGUAGAGACACACAAGCAAUGAGAAAAUACCAUAGAGGGCAUUAAGAUGGAGACAUGUGCAGAGAGAGGAUGACAGUUGGUAUUGGGAACUUGAACUCAAAUUGAAUGAGGAACUUCUCACAGCAAAUGAUGCUUCAGCCAAAUCUAGAAAUAUGAUUGUAUACCUAUGUUAACUUGGGGGUGUCUGUAAGAGCAUAUUUUAGUCAGAAGUGAUCGGGUAAAAAGGUUCAAGGUCAUGAAACAGCUGGGGCAGCCAAAAGUAUUUAAAUAUAUCAUUUUAAAUAUUUCUGGGUAUAUUAAAUUAAUACCACAUAGAGUAAUUAAGUAUACCCAGAGUAAUAGUCACGUGAAAGGAGUGCAAAAGAUGGAAAGGGGCAGACGAUGAAAGUCUUGCUUGAUAAAAUAAGUCUUGUUUGAUAAACUAAGUCUUGUUUGAUAAAAUAAGAAAUUUAAAUUUUAUUUUGUGAACAAAAUACUGAAUGAUUUUAAAGGAUCAAAAUGAAGAGACCAGAUUUGCAUAUUUGAAAACCCCUUUUGCCAUCCCGAUCUCAUUAUGAUGCAUGAUUAAAGGUGUGGUAAUGCGGUUGAGGUCUGAGAAAAUAUUAUGGCAAUUUUGGCUGACAAUGAGAGAGAUGGGAAUUGAGAUGAAAGAUAGUAAGACAAUAAGCGAGACUUUCAGAUUUAAUAUGAGUUGACUGUGAGUAAAUAAAUGCACACAAAAUAUCAAUAUUUGAUCUGCGAAAAUACUUCACUGCAAGAUGUUUGAAUAAAAUACUCAUUCCCUGUAAGCAUGCAGGAUUUGGAAAGAAAACUAAGGUGAAUGUGACUGAUCUUGGAAUCCAGAAAUACUCCUCUGUCCUCUGAGGCACAAGAGUGGCAAGAACUAUGGAGAAGGAGUCCUUGGAAUUUGGACAUGCAGCUCAGCAGGCCCAGAAGCCUUCUUCUGCACCAGCAAAAUUCCUUCUUCUGGACUCUGUCUAACACCAGGAUACCCCAGAUGAGGAGAUUCCAGCUGAGGGAAGUCUAAGCAUCACCCUAGAGAGACCAGGAGCAGACUUCUGAGGACCGCCUGUUCUCCGAGGGGAGUUGCUCACAGGAAGGGCUGUUUUCCCCUGAUGAACCAAUUGUGAAUUAAAUAUCCAGUAGCUCAAGAAGAUUUGAAACUAACUCCCACAGAGUACAAACUACCAAAUAGCAAUUCACAGGUAUAUCUAGGUCUUCAGGGGAUGCCCAACCAUACUUAGGACUGACCUGAGUGCAGCUACUUCCCCAGAGAAAAAAGCUUCUACUUUGGAACCGCCACCAGCAAUCAGGCCCCGGAAUUCCUUGUCCUGCAGGACUGAGGAUGGAGUAUCAAAACCCAAAAAGGUUCAAAGUCCCCCCCAAGAGUCUCUGAAGUGAUGUGCAGGAAGAAAAUGGUACAACAUCUGUUUACAUCCAUUCGUAUUCAAUAGACUAAAAAGGAAUACAGUUUAAUAAUACAUGAUAUGUGAUUGGCAGUGGUAUCCCCACUUGGUCCAUGUGUAACUUAAGGUAAAAGUGUGCCCUGAUGGGAGAAGAUACAUUCCACAACUUAAAGGGGUCAACAGCUGCACCCCUACACACCUCUUUAAGCUCACAGUGUGGUUCAUAUGCUUGGUUAUGUUUGUUUAUUAAUUUGGUAUCAUAACAAGUAGACUCUAAUGCUUAAAUUUGUAAUGACAUAGGUGUGACCAUAGAAACCCAUUUUAUGUAUUUUGUUUUGUUUCGUUUUGUGCAACAUAGUUGUCUUAUUAUCUUUUGGCAAAGAACCUAAAAGAGUAACAGUGUUCUUUCACUAAAUGACAAGUACUCCAAAUUUGGUGACCUUUUCUGUGAUGACAAGUAACUGUCGAUAGAUGCCACCUAACAGAGAUCCUCAAAAAAGAUAAAGACACUUAUUGUCUCCUUUCAAGGUAAAGGUGACAUUCUAACAAUGAGUGAAAAAGUAACUGUUUUCUGUUUUCUUUUCUUUUAUUUUUAAUCCUGUAUGGGAAAAGAAUGUUGAAAAAUGGAUGUUUGUAGGUGUUUAUAUCAUUGUUGUCAAAAAUGAUGUCUCAGACUUAAAUUUCUAUCUUACACUGAAACAGAAUUCUCUAACCUAUUUUGAGAUCUUCCAAAUGAAGCGUUUCAGUGGUUUUUGAAACCAUUUGAUAAAAAAUUUUAAGAAAGAAAAUCCCUUCUGACUACAUUACAAAAAAAUCGAUUUUGACAUCAGGGAAAGGGAGAAUUGAUUAAUUUUAACAAUAAAAUUGAAUGAGAAAUGUUGUGAAUGGGAUUAAGAAAUUAAUAUGAUUUAGAAAGUGUGCUCAAUGUUGCACUUCCUCUGUUGGAUCACAGAUCUUCUGAGAAAUAUCUUCCAUACGUGAUAGUCAUAAAAACCAAGUAGCACAAUAAAAUGAACACACUAGACCUUUAAUUUCUGCCACAUAAAGCAGGAAGCCAAAAAUGUAUUCAAAUGAUGAAGAAUUUUAUCACCUCACAAUGCUAAAACUGUUACUAAUAAUAAUUUAUUGAGCCCUUUAAUACAUAUUUUUCUUUGAUUAAUAUAGUUUAAAUAUUUAAAUAUUCCUCAUUAAUUGUUAUUAUAUAUUUUAUACAGUGUCUAGUUUGGUAAAUAGUUUUCAGUGUACCUAAUACCUAGUUCCAUAUUACAUAUGUGUGUAUGUUGUUUGUGUGUACAUCUGUAUAUGUAAAGAGAGGGAGAUAACUAAAAAAUUAUGCAGGAAUGCCCCUGGGUCACAUCCAUGAGAUCCAGAAUAACUGGACAUAGCUUUUGAACCACAACUUGAAACAGGGGCCCUGAGGCUGGCUCAUGUCUAUAUCCAUAGUGUUAAGCACAAAGCCUGGCUAUAUUGAAUAAAUGAUAAAAGAAUGAACAUUUCAUGGUGGCCAGAGGUUUGAAUUGUUCUCAUAUGAAAAUAAUAAUUCAUGAGUUCUUUCAAAAAAUGUUUUAAUCCAAGCAUGUCUACACAGAGCAGUGAAAUAAAAUUGCAAAAUAUUUAUGCAUUAAAAAAAAAAACAAAACUGUUAGACCUGAAAAACAGAGCCUGAUGUUUCUGUUACCAACCACUA